rnacentral:rRNA from 1 species
UUUUUUAUGGAGAGUUUGAUCCUGGCUCAGAGUGAACGCUGGCGGCGUGCCUAAUACAUGCAAGUCGAACGAUGAAGCUUC